GGGUCUCCGGGCCUGAGGCGAGGCCCGCCUGGCGCAGUUGGCCCGCAGGGGCGGCGCGGGCUGAGGUAGCGGCUUGAGUGUCCAGCACAUUACAAAAACUUAACAGACUGGAGUGCCACGAACCACCAGACAACCCAUCUACCUACAGCUGGGCGCAGAGCACCCAGCACAGCCGAUCAGGCCAACAGAUCCGGAGACCCAAGAGCCUGACUGAGUCCACAGAAGAAAAGAGAGGGAUCGAGCUGGGCACUCAGCAUUGGUGAGAUUGAAAGCCAUGCCAAAAGAUAACAGGGCCUACUUACAUAAAACCAGGUAUACAGGCCUGCACUGGAAGUGCUGAUCUCACCUUCCAUGUCAGGGCAGGGUAUGUGUUAGAUUUGAUUAUGUAUUAUGGGUCAGCCUUACAUUCUCAAAUAAAUUGUCUUUUGGUGUUGA